rnacentral:rRNA from 1 species
GUAGGUGGCAAGCGUUGUCCGGGAAUUACUGGGCGUAAAGCGCGCGCAGGCGGUUCGUUUAAGUCUGAUGCGAAAGCCCACGGGCUCAACCGUGGAGGGUCAUUGGAAACUGGAGAACUUGAGUACAGAAGAGGAAAGCGGAAUUCCACGUGUAGCGGUGAAAUGCGUAGAGAUGUGGAGGAACACCAGUGGCGAAGGCGGCUUUCUGGUCUGUAACUGACGCUGAGGCGCGAAAGCGUGGGGAGCAAACAGGAUUAGAUACCCUGGUAGUCCACGCCGUAAACGAUGAGUGCUAAGUGUUAGGGGGUUUCCGCCCCUUAGUGCUGCAGCUAACGCAUUAAGCACUCCGCCUGGGGAGUACGGCCGCAAAGGCUG